AAAAAGAUAAGCUAACUUAAGCUACUGGGCUCAUACCCCAUUUAUAAAGGUUCUAAUCCUUUUCUUUUUA
rnacentral:tRNA from 1 species